rnacentral:lncRNA from 1 species
GGACACUUCAAUCUAAAGUGAUCUUAAAGGAGGAGUAGUAGGAUUUGAAGAUGAAGAAAGAAGAGGGGAGGUAAAUUACUUUCCAUCACUUCAAUUUCAACCCAUCAGAUAAACCCUCUCUUUAGUAAACCCGCAUGUGGGUGGAGCUGUAACAGCAAUUAAGGACAGUGUGACUCUGUUCUUCUGACUUUGGGAAAACCAGUUUGGUUGGAACAAAAAGCUGAUAGAGAAGACUAAUGGAAGAUAAGGUUGAAAAGGGCCACAACGGAGGUCAUGAAGAUGUCCAGCAGCACGUGGUAAUGACCUGGCUUAAUGGGGCUGGCUCACUGAUGAGUACUAGAAGUGUUCAAGAAAACUCAG